AGUUCUGGCGUCAGGAGUGAACGCUAGCUACAGGCUUAACACAUGCAAGUCGAGGGGCAGCAUGAAGGUAGCUUGCUAACUUGCCGGCGACCGGCGCACGGGUGAGUAACGCGUAUCCAACCUUCCCCUUAGUAGGGCAUAGCCCGUAGAAAUGCGGAUUAAUACCCUAUGUUAUUCGUCGAGGACAUCUGAAGUGAAUCAAAGGUUUACCGCUAAGGGAUGGGGAUGCGUCUGAUUAGGCAGCAGGCGGGGUAACGGCCCACCUGGCCGACGAUCAGUAGGGUUCUGAGAGGAAGGUCCCCCACAUUGGAACUGAGACACGGUCCAAACUCCUACGGGAGGCAGCAGUGAGGAAUAUUGGUCAAUGGUCGAGAGACUGAACCAGCCAAGUAGCGUGCAGGAUGACGGCCCUAUGGGUUGUAAACUGCUUUUAUGCGGGGAUAAAGUGACGUACGUGUACGUUUUUGUAGGUACCGCAUGAAUAAGGACCGGCUAAUUCCGUGCCAGCCGCGGC
rnacentral:rRNA from 1 species